GCCACCCAGGCACCCUUCACAUUGUGUUUUAUUUUGCAUUUCCUUAAUAGCUAAUGAUAUUAACCAUCUUUUCAU